rnacentral:rRNA from 1 species
CCUACGGGAGGCUGCAGUAGGGAAUCUUCCACAAUGGGCGCAAGCCUGAUGGAGCAACACCGCGUGAGUGAAGAAGGGUUUCGGCUCGUAAAGCUCUGUUGUUGGAGAAGAACGUGCGUGCGAGUAACUGUUCACGCAGUGACGGUAUCCACCCAGAAAGUCCCGGCUAACUACGUGCCAGCAGCCGCGGUAAUACGUAGGUGGCAAGCGUUAUCCGGAUUUAUUGGGCGUAAAGCGAGCGCAGGCGGUUGCUUAGGUCUGAUGUGAAAGCCUUCGGCUUAACCGAAGAAGUGCAUCGGAAACCGGGCAACUUGAGUGCAGAAGAGGACAGUGGAACUCCAUGUGUAGCGGUGGAAUGCGUAGAUAUAUGGAAGAACACCAGUGGCGAAGGCGGAUGUCUGGUCUGCAACUGACGCUGAGGCUCGAAAGCAUGGGUAGCGAACAGGAUUAGAUACCCUUGUAGUC